rnacentral:rRNA from 1 species
UGCGCAGGUGGCCCGACAAGUCUGGCGUUAAAGUGCGGGGCUCAACUCCGUGAUGCGCUGGAAACUGUCGGGCUAGAGUACAGCAGGGGGCGUCGGAAUUCCUAGUGUAGCGGUGAAAUGCGUAGAUAUUAGGAAGAACACCAGUGGCGGAGGCGGAUGACUGGACGACAACUGACGCUGAGGCGCGAAAGCGUGGGAGCAAACA